GUAAUGAUGACUGAAUUAUAUUGAUUAGUCAUGAUAAUUUUAUAUUUAUCCUCUAAGAAGUACUGAACUG
rfam:Crassostrea gigas strain 05x7-T-G4-1.051#20 contig21948, whole genome shotgun sequence.